AGUCAAAGGUGGUUAUGCGCUAACAGCACGAAGAUUGCUUCAGCUGGGCUUUUCUUGGGUCUCUUUAUACAUGUAAUCUGUCAGCUGCUCGCUACUCAGCCAGAAUCCCUCCUCAACUAUUCUGUGCUAAGGACAGUCACUGAAUAUAGAAUGCAAGUGUGAACACGGACGGGUGUGUGCUUUUAAAAAGAUGAACGACACGGAGGAGGGAGAGGAAACAUCGUGAUGGAUAAGAACUUUUCAGUUUACAUAUCUGUCUGACUCACCUUUGUUCGUUUUCUCCCCAUAACAAGGAGUAUCGUGUUUUCUAUGCCGUGGGCUUCUUCGUAAUACUUGGCCAGUGUUGCUGAAUGCAUAUUCUAUAAGCAGAUCACCAGCACAGUGACAAAUCUGAAUGCUUAACCUUGUAGAUGGUAAUAAACAUUCUCUGAGAACAUUAAAAUGAAA